GUGCUUGCUUCGGCAGCACAUAUACUAAAAUUGGAAGGAUACAGAGAAGAUUACCAUGGCCCCUAUGGUAGG
rnacentral:snRNA from 1 species